AGCGGACGCUGGCGGCGUGCCUAACACAUGCAAGUCGAACGUGAAAGGGAGCAAUCCCAAGUAAAGUGGCGUACGGGUGAGUAACACGUAGGUAAUCUACCCCAGAAUCUGGAAUAACCGGCCGAAAGGCUGGCUAAUACUGGAUAGAGCGACGGAAUCCGUAAUUGGGUUUUUCGGGAAAGGGAGCCUGUAAAAAGGCCUUCGUUCUGGGAUGAGCCUGCGUCCCAUCAGCUAGUUGGUGAGGUAAAAGCUUACCAAGGCAAUGACGGGUAGCUGGUCUGAGAGGACGAUAAGCCACACUGGAACUGAAACACGGUCCAGACUCCUACGGGAGGCAGCAGUGGGGAAUCUUGCGCAAUGGACGAAAGUCUGACGCAGCAACGCCGCGUGAGUGAAGAAGGCCUUCGGGUUGUAAAGCUCUGUCGAGUGGGACGAAAAUGCUUGGAGUUCACAGCUCCAGGAACUGACGGUACAAUUAAAGGAAGCACCGGCUAACUCCGUG
rnacentral:rRNA from 1 species